AUGGGAACGCGAAGAACCUUACCUAGACUUGACAUCUUCUGCAUUAAUCGUAAUGGAUGAAAUCCCUUCGGGGACAGAAUGACAGGUGGUGCAUGGUUGUCGUCAGCUCGUGUCGUGAGAUGUUGGGUUAAGUCCCGCAACGAGCGCAACCCCUAUUAUUAGUUGCUAACAUUAAGUUGAGCACUCUAGUGAGACUGCCCGGGUUAACCGGGAGGAAGGUGGGGAUGACGUCAAAUCAUCAUGCCCCUUAUGUCUAGGGCUACACACGUGCUACAAUGGUGGGAACAAAGAGAUGCAAUACCGCAAGGUGGAGCUAAACUCAAAACCCCAUCCCAGUUCGGAUUGUAGGCUGAAACUCGCCUACAUGAAGCUGGAGUUGCUAGUAAUCGCGAAUCAGAAUGUCGCGGUGAAUACGUUCCCGGGUCUUGACACACCG
rnacentral:rRNA from 1 species